UACGUAGGCAGCGAGCGUUGUUCGGAAUUACUGGGCGUAAAGAGUGUGUAGGCGGUGUUCCAAGUUCGGUGUGAAAUCUCCCGGCUUAACUGGGAGGGUGCGCCGAACGACUGGAUGCUCGAGCGUGGGAGAGGAAAGCGGAAUUCCUGGUGGUAGCGGUGAAAUGCGUAGAGUAUCAGGAGGAACACCAGCGGUGUAGACGGCUUCUGGACCAUGCUGACGCUGAGACACGAAAGCGUGGGUAGCAAACAGG
rnacentral:rRNA from 1 species